UCCGGUGGACGCGCCGCUGCGCUGGCUGUGGCGAGAGCCGGCAGCGGUGGCUAGCCGCAAGACCUUAGUGUGGCCUCUCAGUCUGCGUGCCUCGCCGCUGCGCUGGCUGUGGCGGGAGCCGGCGGCGGCGACGGGUCGCAAGACUAGUGUGGCCUUGCUGUUGUGCCGGUCUGGGGCACAGCACAGCGGCGUCUGCCAGAGUGACGCUGCUGGUCGUCCUCCGCGCGCUAGAUAGGUGAUUCGCUGCUGCUCGAGGAGAAUGUGUUAUCGGCUCCUCAUGAAGAAGUUCCAGCUGCCUGGCCUCUCCACCCUCCGCCGCUGGACUCGAGGCUUCCGGACGUCACCUAGGAUCCUGGACAUAGUUCUGCAGAUCAUGCGCUCGUCCGCAGACACCAUAACGUCGCAUGAGAGGCUGCUCGUCAUGUCCUUCGACGAGAUCACCAUCGAUCCCCGCGUGGCGUACGACUCCACGGACGACGCGGUCUACGGCCCCAACGACAAGAUGCAGGUGGUGAUGGUCCGAUCCUUGUGCAGUCGUUGGAAGCAGCCCGUCUUCCUCGACUACAACAAGGGCCUUCUCCACCGCAUCAUAGCCGGGAGCCGGCGGCGACGUACAAGACUGUAGCGUCAAGCGUGGCCGCACUCUGUAUACCGCGCCGGUGCGCUGGCUAUGGCGGGAGCCGGCGGCGGUGACGGGUCACCAGCUGGAUCAGUGCAGCGGUAACUCAGGUGCCGGCGAUCAUGCUGUUGGCUGCUGCCGUGCCGCAAGACCAAGUGGCCGCUCCGCUGCGCUGGCUAUGGCGGGAGCCGGCGGCGGCGACGUGCCGCGAUAUCCGGUGGACGCGCCGCUGCGCUGGCUUUGGCGGGAGCCGGCAGCGGCGGCUAGCCGCAAGACCGUAGUGCGGCCUUUCAGUCUGCGUGCCGCGCCGCUGCGCUGGCUGUGGCGGGAGCCGGUGGCGGCGGCGCUCUGCAAAAUACCAGCUGGAGCGGUCGAGCGAAUGCUCAGACUCGUGGGCGACAGUCUGACGGCGUCCUGUGGACGAAGAUAGCGAAGCAUUUGCGUGGAUGACGCGGUAGGCGGCUCGUCCGCCACCCGGGUGACGGAGACCUCAUGAUGCGCUUCCUACCGAGUCUUGCCCCUGCGGAGGCGAUGCGGCGCCGAGCCACCGAGGCGUCCCAACCGGCGCUGGCGCGAAUAGUGGCUUGUCACCCAAAGUUUAACGGAGGCAUGGUGGUGCUAAGGACAUUCGGCGCGGCACCGUCUGUCACGGGAUUGACAGUUUUGCAUGGAGUGAACCCUUCGGUGGAAAUAUGGUGCGGGUCGGGGUGAUUUGAAUGAGAUAGUUGUGAGGAUGAUCAGAUAAUGAUAAUAUAAACUAUAAUGAUAAUGAUACUAAAACAGAUAAUGAUAAACAAGAGCGGAAGGCGGGGAGGAAUUACACCGGUGCUAGGUUAAGUUCGUUAUGAUCAAAUUAUAGCUGGGAUAAUUGUACGAUUCAUUCGCUACGAUGCAUUUGCUGUGCAAUUGGUCAUUGUGACGUUCAUCCCCCUCUCCCGUGGCCGUAUGUAUGAGAACGAUAGUUCCGGUGAGUUUUAACUGACAUUCGUUAUCAUGAUGGAUGUAAUUGUUUGGCGGACUUUUCUGUACAUUAAACACGACCUGUGUGCUUCCCCUACUGCGAUAUUACUGAUAUAACGAUAAGAAUGCCAUGAAUUUCACGCAUCAGACCUGUUUUUGCCGUUUGUGAGACUAUUCGGCGCGGUGAGGGCCGGUAUCUGCAAAGCUGAGUUCGGACCGAGCAUGUUGGUUCUGCGCUGUGCUCGUGGUAAAUUCACAUCAUUUAUACAAUUGAAUGACAGCUCAAGUUUCGCCUCAGUUUUGCGUGUGAGUGGUGAAGCUUGUUUCCGUUUUAAAUCCGUUAAUGUGCGUUUAAACCGGACUUCUUGAAGUAUGGGGACGAAUAAACGAAUCGCUGGGAGGGAU
rnacentral:lncRNA from 1 species